AUUGAACGCUGGCGGCAUGCCUAACACAUGCAAGUCGAACGGGGCAGCAAUGCCUAGUGGCGGACGGGUGAGGAACACGUAGGAAUCUGCCCUUAAGUGGGGGAUAACCAGGGGAAACCCUGACUAUUACAGCAUGUUCUCUUAGGAGCAAAGGGGGGGACCGCAAGGCCUCCCGCUUCUGGAUGAGCCUACGUCUGAUGAGCUAGUUGGUAGUGUAAAGGCCUGCCAAGGCGAGGAUCAGUAAGUGGACUGAGAGGAGAAUAAGUCACACCGGAACUGGGACACGGUCCGGAGUCCUACGGGAGAGAGCAGUGGGGAAGGUUGGACAAUGGGCGCAAGCGUGAUCCAGCAAUGCCGCGUGUGUGAAGAAGGCCUUCGGGUUGUAAAGCACUUUAGCCUGAAAAGAAAAAACUUUGGUUAACACCCAAAGUCUUGACGGUACCAGGAGAAUAAGCACCGGCUAACUCUGUGCCAGCAGCCGCCGUAAUAC
rnacentral:rRNA from 1 species